UACGGAGGAUGCGAGCGUUAUCCGGAUUUAUUGGGUUUAAAGGGUGCGUAGGCGGAGGCACAAGUCAGCGGUAAAAUCGCGGGGCUCAACCCCGCUCCGCCGUUGAAACUGUGUCCCUUGAGUGCGCGAAGGGUAGGCGGAAUGCGUGGUGUAGCGGUGAAAUGCAUAGAUAUCACGCAGAACUCCGAUCGCGAAGGCAGCCUACCGGCGCGCGACUGACGCUCAUGCACGAAAGCGUGGGUAUCGAACAGG
rnacentral:rRNA from 1 species